ACUUUGACAGGUCAUCUGAAACUUUGGGGGCUUGAGUAUCAGAGGGGAAAGUGGAAUUCCUAGUGGAGCGGUAAAAUGCACAGAGAUUAGGAGGAACACCGGUGGCGAAGGCGACUUUCUGGCUGACAACUGACGCUGAGGCGCGAAAGCGUGGGGAGCAAACAGGAUUAGAUACCCUGGUAGUCCACGCCGUAAACGAUGAUUACUGGGUGUAGGGAGUAUCGACUCUCUCUGUGCCGAAGCAAACGCGAUAAGUAAUCCACCUGGGGAGUACGGCCGCAAGGCUAAAACUCAAAGGAAUUGACGGGGACCCGCACAAGCAGUGGAGUAUGUGGUUUAAUUCGAGGCAACGCGAAGAACCUUACCAGGGAUUGACAUCCUGCGCUAGGCCUGGAGACAGGUUGUUCCUUCGGGACGCAGAGACAGGUGGUGCAUGGUUGUCGUCAGCUCGUGUCGUGAGAUGUUCGGUUAAGUCCGGCAACGAGCGCAACCCUUGUUGUCAGUUACCAUCAUUAAGUUGGGGACUUUGGCGAGACUGCCGUUGACAAAACGGAGGAAGGUGGGGAUGACGUCAAAUCAUCAUGCCCCUUAUAUCCUGGGCUACACACGUACUACAAUGGGCGUUACAGCGGGCAGCCACACCGCGAGGUGGAGCGAAUCCCGAAAGGCGUCCUCAGUUCGGAUUGCAGGCUGCAACUCGCCUGCAUGAAGUCGGAAUUGCUAGUAAUGGCAGGUCAGCAUACUGCCGUGAAUACGUUCCCGGGUCUUGUACACACCGCCCGUCACACCAUGAGAGUCUGUAACACCCGAAGUCAGUAGUCUAACCUGAUUAGAUUAGGGGGACGCUGCCGAAGGUGGGAUAGAUAAUUGGGGUGAAGUCGUAACAAGGUAACCGUA
rnacentral:rRNA from 1 species